CAGGGAGACAAUAAAUUGAUUGUGAUGUCUAAGUUAUUUAUUCUUAGGCCGCAAUCCUGUCACCUUAAGGUCGAUCGGUACCUCAGAUUUUUGAAUUAGUUUUUAUAAUUGAUUCUUUGAUUUCAGUUCCUAAACUUGUCUAGGUCACACCCAACAAAGGUUUCUCCUGGGCCAUUAGCUCAGGUGGUUAGAGCGCACCCCUGAUAAGGGUGAGGUCCCUGGUUCAAGUCCAGGAUGGCCCAUUCGUUGUUGGGGGUAUAGCUCAGUUGGUAGAGCGCCUGCUUUGCAAGCAGGAUGUCAGCGGUUCGAGUCCGCUUACCUCCACUGAAAACUAUCCUGAUAACUAAAUUUUGGAGAAAAAAUUGUAGAUGUGGCUUAGAUUUGUCUAUUUGAAAAGAACCUAGCUUCUUGUCAUCUUUUUAUAGUUGAUAAAAUGCUGGGCUCGCAUGGAUUAUUUCCAUGAGAAUUCAGUAGAACCUUGAAAACUGCAUAGAUUAGAAAGAAUAAAGCAUCUCAUGGAUGCAUAGUUCUGUUUUUAUAAUUUAGCUUUAAAACUAAAUUAUUUAAUUCUAGAAUUCAUGUUUAAUUCUUGAGUAAUAGCCGAGCACAAUUAAUUUUGUGAUUGUAUUUAA
rnacentral:tRNA from 1 species